UAAUUUAUUUGGAUAAAUAUGUGUUUGAUUUUAUUAAAUCAAGAAGCUCGGGAUUAAAUGAGGAGUUAAUUCCUAUCGAACUUCAUUUUAAUUUAAAUAAUCUAUUAAAUUCGAUUAUAAUUGAAACUAAAUUACAAUUGCAAUGCAAUUGGCCGAUUGACUUUUAGUUUGAUCAAAAUUUAAAUAGAAUAGGCUAAAUUAGAAUUGAAAUUAUUUUUUGAAUAACCCCAAAUCUAGUUGGGGUUAUUUUCUAAAUUAACACCCAAAAAAUUACCUAAAUCCCUAAUCUACCAAAAAAUAACCCAACAAUUUUAACAAAAAGCAUCACCAGCCUUUAUUUCCCCUUUAAAUAGGCCCAACAGUUAAAUGGGCCCAAUCACAACCCAAUUCUGCCAGCCCAGCGGCCCAACACCUGGAAGCCCACUCUUCAAUUACUCCAAAACCAAUCCUUCUAAUUUCCUAAACCCAUCAGCCCAUUUUUUUUUCUCCUUUUAAUUUCAGCACACACCACUGCCCAGCCCAACUCCAAAACCCCCUGACCCGGCCAGUUUUUUCUUUAACAACAACAGCUUCAGCCAAAAAAAAAUCCCAUCAGCGUACAACAGCAAUAGCUGCGUACAAUACGCAAAAAAGACAACAACAGUUAAAAAUGGCGUACAACUCCAGCAAACCAUCGACCCGUCUCCGACUCGCAUCCAACGGCGAAACCCGACCCCAACCCGUUUCUUUUUCAUCUUCAUCAGGCAUCUCAGCUGAUUUGUACGAGAAAGAUGCUAAGAACUCUCUAGAAGUGCUCAGGCGUCUCCCCCAAAUGGCUAACUCCGCAAAUCUCGGGAUAAUGGUACGAAUUUGGUACAUAUUUGGGCAUUUUUUAUUGAUUUGAGGGAGGAUUCAAUUUUCCCCAAAUUCCAUUGGUAAACCCCCAUUGAAUUCCCUCAAGAAACCACAAAAUUGGUAUAAUUUGUGAGGGGUAAUCUUAUCUUGAGUUCAAAUUUUGAAUUCCCUUUUGAAAAAUUCCCUAAUUUUCCCUUGAAUCACUUUAUCCCACAUCGAUGGAGCAAUAUUUGGGAGGGGGUCUCUGUUCUCUAUAUAUAGAUCCUUUUGGAGAAAGAAAAGAAUGUGGAAAUUUUUUUCAAAAAGCAGAAACACACAAAAAAAGGGAAAAAAAAUUGGUCGCAAGUAUAGAAGAGAAUUUUCUUCAGUAAAAUUUGAAGGAAUAGUAGUCGGCUAGUAAAUAUUUUCGUAGCAGCAUUGAAUUUUCCGGUGGUGGUGAACUCCGAAGGAGCUCGAGGUUCUAUUUUGCUGCUCCGAAACCGACUCCUUUUCCUAUGCAUGUCUAUUGUGGGCCAUCGAGGCCUAAUAACCCUGAGUCGAUUUUGAAAGACUAAGUCCAAAUAUCAAUCUUAUGGCAUACCGAAUACAAGGAGGCGAAAGAAGAAGAAAUGGGCUAAAGUCCUAUCCUUGAAGCGGCAAAGGAGACUUGAAAGUCUCACAUUCAUUGUUGCCUUCAUUUAUUUAUUUUUAUUCAUUUCGGGCCUCGAAGCCAAAGAUGUAAAUUUAAUACAGGUGAAGUGGAUUUUGGGCCAAAAAGGCUCGAAAACAUAGAUUAGGACAGGUGAAAAAUGGGUCGAAAGCCUAAAUUAGAUUAGGACAGGUUUCGUUGAUUUGGGCCCAAUGGUUUAAAUCUUUUACUUCCUCC